rnacentral:rRNA from 1 species
UACGUAGGGCGCAAGCGUUGUCCGGAAUUAUUGGGCGUAAAGAGCUCGUAGGCGGCCUAUUGCGUCCGCUGUGAAAUCCCCAGGGCUUAACCUGGGCCUGCAGUGGAUACGGGUAGGCUGGAGGCAGGCAGGGGAGAACGGAAUUCCCGGUGUAGCGGUGAAAUGCGCAGAUAUCGGGAGGAACACCGGUGGCGAAGGCGGUUCUCUGGACCAGC